GACGGGGGGGGCAAGUGUUCUUCGGAAUGACUGGGCGUAAAGGGCACGUAGGCGGCGACUCGGGUUGAAAGUGAAAGUCGCCAAAAAGUGGCGGAAUGCUCUCGAAACCAAUUCACUUGAGUGAGACAGAGGAGAGUGGAAUUUCGUGUGUAGGGGUGAAAUCCGUAAAUAUACGAAGGAACGCCAAAAGCGAAGGCAGCUCUCUGGGUCCCUACCGACGCUGGGGUGCGAAAGCGUGGGGAGCGAACAGG
rnacentral:rRNA from 1 species